UACACUCAAAUUUCUCCUUUUUGCUAACUCAGCUCGUAGACUCCUAUUUUCAUUCGCAAGCUUCUCAGCUCUUAAAGCCAUUUGCACCAACUCUUUAGCUACGAUUGCGUCCGAUUCACCCAUAAAAGAAGUUCAACCAUGUUGCCUAGCAUCUUUAAACUCCUUAGAAUUAGAAACAUCCAGCACUAGUGGUGGGACAGGAGGUGGAGGUGGUGGUACUGAAG
rnacentral:lncRNA from 1 species